rnacentral:rRNA from 1 species
UCACUUCUGGAUGGUCCCGCGGCGUAUNAGCUAGAUGGUGGGGUAACGGCUCACCAUGGCAAUGAUACGUAGCCGACCUGAGAGGGUAAUCGGCCACAUUGGGACUGAGACACGGCCCAAACUCCUACGGGAGGCAGCAGUAGGGAAUCUUCCACAAUGGACGAGAGUCUGAUGGAGCAACGCCGCGUGAGUGAAGAAGGGUUUCGGCUCGUAAAACUCUGUUGUUAAAGAAGAACAUAUCUGAGAGUAACUGUUCAGGUAUUGACGGUAUUUAACCAGAAAGCCACGGCUAACUACGUGCCAGCAGCCGCGGUAAUACGUAGGUGGCAAGCGUUGUCCGGAUUUAUUGGGCGUAAAGCGAGCGCAGGCGGUUUUUUAAGUCUGAUGUGAAAGCCUUCGGCUCAACCGAAGAAGUGCAUCGGAAACUGGGAAACUUGAGUGCAGAAGAGGACAGUGGAACUCCAUGUGUAGCGGUGAAAUGCGUAGAUAU